rnacentral:rRNA from 1 species
CGGGGUGCACCAGGCGCGAAAACUUUACAAUGCUGGAAACAGCGAUAAGGGGACCUCGAGUGCCAGGUUAUAAAUCUGGCUGUCGUGAUGCCUAAAAAGCAUUGCAUAGCAAGGGCCGGGCAAGACCGGUGCCAGCCGCCGCGGUAACACCGGCGGCUCGAGUGGUAACCGUUAUUAUUGGGUCUAAAGGGUCUGUAGCCGGCCGGAUAAGUCUCUUGGGAAAUCCAGCAGCUCAACUGUUGGGCUUUCAGGAGAUACUGUCUGGCUCGAGGCCGGGAGAGGUGAGAGGUACUUCAGGGGUAGGGGUGAAAUCUUGUAAUCCUUGAAGGACCACCAGUGGCGAAGGCGUCUCACCAGAACGGACCUGACGGCAAGGGACGAAAGCUAGGGGCACGAACCGGAUUAGAUACCCGGGUAGUCCUAGCCGUAAACGAUACUCGCUAGGUGUCGGCCACGGUGCGACCGUUGUCGGUGCCGUAGGGAAGCCGUGAAGCGAGCCACCUGGGAAGUACGGCCGCAAGGCUGAAACUUAAAGGAAUUGGCGGGGGAGCACAAGGGCGAAUGC